rnacentral:pre_miRNA from 1 species
AAUAGAUAACGCCGUUGACUUUUUCUUAUAUGUUUGACCAUUCGUCUUAUUCAAAAAAUUUACAUUUAUAAGUUGUUUUAUCACUCAUAGUACUUUAAGUGUGAUUUAUAUCUUAUACAUUUGCAUAAAAUUUUUAAAUAAGACGAAUGGUUAAACAUGUGAGAAAAAGUCAACGGCGUCAUCUAUU